rnacentral:rRNA from 1 species
UACGGGGGGGGCAAGCGUUGUUCGGAAUUACUGGGCGUAAAGGGCUCGUAGGUGGUCAACUAAGUCGGACGUGAAAUCCCUCGGCUUAACCGGGGAACUGCGUCCGAUACUGGAUGACUUGAGUUCGGGAGAGGGAUGCGGAAUUCCAGGUGUAGCGGUGAAAUGCGUAGAUAUCCGGAGGAACACCGGUGGCGAAGGCGGCAUCCUGGACCGACACUGACGCUGAGGAGCGAAAGCCAGGGGAGCAAACGGG